ACAUGCCGCUGUGACCUUGAGAGCGGGGAAGAGGACAUACUGGCAACGCCGGCAGCAAGCGAAGCGGCGUCACGGCGCACACCUCCUAAUCUCCAGAGGAUGUCGCCCGAUGAGGAGGACAGAUAGUGAGCGGCGCAGAUACCAAUCGCUCCAAAUUUGCGCCCUCGAAUGAAUGCACCAUAGUUGCACGCAGUGACUGGCUACAACGUGACUUCCAGCUGUUCAUGGCUCAUUUCACAUCAUCAUUCAUUCGUGGUCAAAGCAAGGAUCCGUGCACAACUCUUCUCAUGCCGCAAGCUGGUAGAACCAACUG